CACUCCUACGGGAGGCAGCAGUGGGGAAUAUUGCACAAUGGGCGCAAGCCUGAUGCAGCGACGCCGCGUGGGGGAUGAAGGCCUUCGGGUUGUAAACUCCUUUCGCUAGGGACGAAGCUUUUUUGUGACGGUACCUAGAUAAGAAGCACCGGCUAACUACGUGCCAGCAGCCGCGGUAAUACGUAGGGUGCGAGCGUUGUCCGGAAUUACUGGGCGUAAAGGGCUCGUAGGUGGUUUGUCGCGUCGUCUGUGAAAUUCUGGGGCUUAACUCCGGGCGUGCAGGCGAUACGGGCAUAACUUGAGUGCUGUAGGGGUAACUGGAAUUCCUGGUGUAGCGGUGAAAUGCGCAGAUAUCAGGAGGAACACCGAUGGCGAAGGCAGGUUACUGGGCAGUUACUGACGCUGAGGAGCGAAAGCAUGGGUAGCGAACAGGAUUAGAAACCCUAGUAGUCCC
rnacentral:rRNA from 1 species